GAUGAAGAACGUAGCGAAAUGCGAUACGUAAUGUGAAUUGCAGAAUUCAGUGAAUCAUCGAAUCUUUGAACGCACAUUGCGCCCGCCAGUAUUCUGGCGGGCAUGCCUGUUCGAGCGUCAUUUCAACCAUCAAGCCUUCGCUUGUGUUGGGGCCCCGCGGCUGCCGCGGCCCCCUAAAUCCAGUGGCGGGCUCGUCGUCGUACCGAGCGCAGUAGACAUCCUCGCUCCGGGAACCCGACGGGUGCCGGCCGUGAAACCCCCCCCAUCAAGGUUGACCUCGGAUCAGGUAGGAAUACCCGCUGAACUUAAGCAUAUCAAUAAGCGGAGGA
rnacentral:misc_RNA from 1 species